UUUCCGUAGGUGAACCUGCGGAAGGAUCAUUCAUAAUAAGUGUUUUAUGGCACUUUUUUAAAUCCAUAUCCACCUUGUGUGCAAUGUCAGGGUUGAUUUUUCUCUCGAGAGGAUCAACCCCAAACAUCAACUCUAUCUCAACUCUUUGUCUGAAAAAUAUUAUGAAUAAAACAAUUCAAAAUACAACUUUCAACAACGGAUCUCUUGGCUCUC
rnacentral:misc_RNA from 1 species